UGAAGGUAAUACUAGAUCAUGACGCUUAUGAUAGCAAUACUUGCCAAGUAUUGCUACCAAGUAUUGCUAUCAUAAGCGUCAUGAUAUUGUAU
rnacentral:pre_miRNA from 1 species